AAUCCAGUUGAGUCUGCUUGCAUCUUAUGCCUUUUGAUGGCAUCGUUGUUUUACUCUUUCUUACGUCAAUAAACCUGUGGACAACGGACAACUGUCUUCAGAGUCGUGAUGUCAGGAAAGAGUUUGUCUAACUGCCAAGGUGUAUCACAGCACAUAUACUGAGGGCAGCAUAGUAAAACAACGGCUUUCUAGCGGGCAAGAUAACGCAGCCAGCUGGCAGACGCUACUAACAACGUCAUCUCACGCAGCCAGUGGAUGAUCAUCACAGCGGUGUCUAAACAGAGGUACGUCACCAGACAACACCAUGUCCGAGAAAGCAACUUCAUUAAAGACGCGGUCCCGCGCUACAUGUUCUGCUACAUACUCAAGUGUAUCAUCAACGGGGUCUGCUGCAGCAAAUGCAAGAGCGAGAGCAGAAGCAGCAAAGGCACGCAUGUCCUACGCCGAAGAGGAAAUGAGCCUAAAUCUAGAAAAAGCUAAGCUAGAAGCCUCAACAAAGCUAGAAAAAGCUAAGCUGGAAGCCUCAAUAGAAAUGCUCAAUUACAAGAAAGAAACUGCUGCAGCCGUGGCUGAGGCCGAAGCCCUUGAAGCUGUGGUAUAUAAAAAUAGUGAAAGACAUAGUUCCAUGUUAAAUUUGGACUCCAGUCCUUUGGAAGCUGCACAACGCACAUGUGAUUGUGAUUGAUCAAGCCGAAUCACAAAACACAGAUGCUCAGCUGCAUGAUGAUGGUGUUGGAGCAAUAAGAGGGUCAAGCCCUAACUACGAAACUCCAGCUUCAUCUAUCAAAUCUGAAGUCAACUCAUUCCAUCCGGCCCAAGCCAAUAUAGCUUCCCAUCAUACACAUGGCCACAAUGCAGCUUCUCAACCAACUCGCCUCAUCUCACAGCAGCCUUACAUCUAUGAAGAUGAAAAGCUCGAUGGGACACGCAAUGUUCGGUUUGACAACCACAAUGCCACUCCUGAGCAAGGUCUUGGACCUCAAAACGACAAAGGCGAUCCUGCUCUUAAAUCCUAUCCCACAUCUUCAAACACCAAUAAUAACAACUCCAACAUCAGCGACUUCGUGAGAUACUUUGCUCGUCGUGAGCUUGUGGCAACAGGCCUACUUCAAUUCAACGACAGACCUCAGAACUACAGAGCCUGGAAACGGUCUUUUCAGAAUGCAACCAGAGGUUUGGACCUGACACCAAGCGAGGAAAUGGAUCUCCUGUUUAAGUGGCUCGGCAAAGAGUCAGCAGAACACGUCGAGCACAUAAGGGCAAUACACAUCAAUCAUCCAGCAGCAGGCUUGGCUAUGAUAUGGGACAGACUUGAACAAUCUUAUGGCUCCGCAGAAGUAAUAGAAGAUGCUCUGUUCAAACGUAUCGACCCCUUUCCAAAAAUAACAAAUCGAGAUUAUUCUAAACUAACAAAGUUGAGUGAUCUUUUAAUGGAACUAGAGUCAGCCAAAGCUGAAGGAGACCUACCCGGCCUCUCUUUCCUCGAUACGAGAGGCGUCAACCCAAUUGUACAGAAGCUCCCCUUCGGUCUGCAGGAGAAGUGGGCGUCAGUUGGGUCAUCCUACAAGCGGCAACAUCACGUUUCAUAUCCCCCCUUUGCCUGCUUCGUAAACUUUGUUAGCCAAGAAGCUAGUGUCAAAAAUUACACUACUUUGUCUCUCACUCAGACAUGUCUCCCAGUUCAGAGAAAAACAGCUUGGAAGCCAAACAGACAGCGAGAAGUCUCUGUUCACAAAACAGAGAUAUUUCCAAAAGCCAUCUCUGAUCCUAGGGAGCCCUCAACGAAAUUCAAUGACUGUGACAAACUGUGUCCAAUCCAUAAAAAACCUCACCCUAUACGCAAAUGCCGUGCAUUCAGAGAAAUGCCCAUCGAAGACCGUAAGACAUUCUUAAAAGAGAAUAACGUUUGUUUCAGAUGCUGUGCUUCAUCAUCACACAUUGCAAGGUACUGCACAUUUAAUGUUCGUUGUUGUGAAUGUAAAAGUGAAAAACACCACACAGCGCUUCAUCCUGGACCUGCUCCCUGGGUUGAAGGCAAAGACUCUGCUCCAGAGCAUGGCGGGGAGGAGGAUAGCUCUCCACAACCCCAUGUCACCACCAAAUGUACAGAUGUCUGUGGCGGAGACGUAACGGACCAAUCCUGCUCUAAAAUAUCCCUUGUGAAUGUGUAUCCAGCCGGCCACGCUCACAAAGCAGUGAAGAUGUACGUGAUUCUGGACGAACAGAGCAACAGAUCACUAGUUCGUUCACAGUUCUUCGAAGUCUUCAAUGACCAAAGUCCAAGUGCUCCUUACUCACUGAAAACAUGUGCUGGAGUAAAGAAAGCGACAGGAAGAAGGGCCAGUGGCUACAUCGUGGAAUCUUUGGAUAGGACCGUCAGCAUCCCACUACCCAGCCUCAUAGAAUGUGAUGACAUCCCAAAUAACAGAAGUGAGAUUCCAACUCCCAAUGCAGCUUUUCAUCACGCACAUCUAAAGUCAGUCGCACACCUCAUCCCAGAUAUCGAGCCACAAGCCCCAAUUAUGCUUCUCUUAGGUCGGGAUAUUAUCAGAGUCCAUAAGGUCCGCAAACAGGUCAAUGACCCACACAACCUACCUUAUGCUCAGAAGUUGGAUCUGGGAUGGAUCAUCGUGGGUAAUGUAUGUUUAGGCCGCAUUCACAAACCAUCGACAGUCAACGCCUUCUGCACGAACACCACGGAACGGGGACGCCCUACUCUCUUUGACCUGUGUCCUAACAUGUUCCGUGUAAAGGAAAAAUACAGUGACACCCAAGCCACAAACCACCUCCAAACACAUCCUGAAGAGAUAUCAAACUGUGAUGUUGACAGCCUAGGACAUAACAUAUUCUAGCAGACCAAGGACGACAACAACAUGGCUCCGUCUAUCCAGGACAUCUCCUUCAUGAAAAUAAUGAAAGAAGGACUAACAAAAGAUGCAAACAGUUGGGUAGCUCCAUUACCCUUUAAAUGCUCACGUCAACGGCUCCUCAAUAACAGGCCACAGGCAUUGAACCGUCUCAAGUCGCUCAGACGCAACUUUGAAAGGAAGCCUGAAAUGAGAGACCAUUUUCUCAGUUUCAUGGACAAGAUGUUCAAGAAUGGUCAUGCUGAGUUAGCCCCUCCUCCCAGUGAGGAUGAAGAACAGUGGUACUUGCCAAUAUUUGGUGUGUACCAUCCAAGAAAACCAAAACAAAUACGAGUGGUCUUCGAUUCCAGCACCCAGUACAACGGUGUGUCGCUCAACAACGUGCUGUUGACUGGGCCUGAUCUGAACAACACGCUGCUUGGUGUAUUAAUGCGCUUUAGAAAGGAAGCAAUCGCCUUUACAACGGAUAUAGAACAGAUGUUCUAUUGUUUUUCAGUAAGGGAAGACGAUAGUAACUUCCUACGUUUUCUAUGGUUCCAAGAUAACGACCCCUCCAAAGACAUUGUGGAGUAUCGGAUGACGGUCCACGUCUUUGGAAAUAGUCCUUCACCCGCAGUAGCGAUUCAUGGACUGCACCAGUCUGUUCAGGUCAGUGAGCUUCGCAUUGACCCUGACGUCCAAAGUUUUGUGAUGCGUGACUUCUAUGUAGACGAUGGGUUGAAGUCCUUGCCCACAGUCGAAGCUGCGGUCAACCUGCUGAAAAAGACACAAGAUGUUCUCUCCAAAUCAAACCUAAGGCUGCACAAGAUCGCAGCAAACAACAAGGAGGUCAUGGAGGCCUUUCCGGCCGAAGAUCGUGCAAAAGACCUUAAAGACCUGGACCUCAGUGCAGAUACGCUACCAAUGCAGCGUAGUCUUGGAAUCAAUUGGGACCUCCAGACCGACUGCUUCCACUUCAGCGUCUCCGACGAGAUAAAAUCCUACACUCGACGGGGUGUCUUGUCUACAAUCAACAGCCUCUACGAUCCUCUAGGGUUUGUAGCGCCAGUCACAAUACAAGGCAAGGCUAUUCUGAGAGAACUCACAACUGAGAAAGGUGACUGGGACUCGCCUUUGCCCCAAGAAAUGGAAGACGCAUGGACAUCUUGGAGAGCAUCUUUGAAAGAACUGUCCCAGCUUUCUAUUCCCAGAGCCUACACUACAACUUCACCCCCAGCAGCUGUCAGAAGGGAAUUGUGCGUCUUUUCUGACGCAUCCACGAAAGCUAUCGCCGCUGUGGCAUAUCUAAAAGUAACUGACUCUGCUGGAAAUAACCAUGUGGGAUUUGUAAUGGGCAAAGCCAAGCUGACCCCCCGUCCUGAACAAACAAUUCCGAGACUGGAACUUUGCGCAGCAGUGCUUGGAGUGGAGUUAGCAGACUUAAUCUCGGCAGAACUAGACCUUCAGCUCGAUGCUACAACCUUCCACUCAGACAGCAAGGUAGUCCUUGGCUACAUUUCUAAUGAAAGCAGGCGCUUUUAUGUAUAUGUAAGUAACCGGGUAUUACGUAUCCGAAGGUCCUCCCACCCAGAUCAAUGGCGCUACGUGUCAACAGAACCACGCUACACGUUCUGUCGCUGCAGGCCGUUUAAACAACACAAACUGACUGAGUGGACCCAAAUCUCUGUACACAUCGGAGACAAGUGCCUCAGAGAGCACCUACGAGCUUGUAGACCCGGGUUCAGACCCAGACAUUCGCCCUCUGGUGUCCACUUUGAGUACUACAACAACAUCCAAGCAGCUUGGUUCUCAACGAUUCUCAAAGUUCUCAUCUUGGAAGUCUCUAACACGGGCCAUUGUUCGCCUCAUACACAUAGCCCGUCUUUUCAACAUGACCUUGAAGAACAGCCCUUGUAAGGGCUGGCAUCACUGCAAAACAGGAUACACUGUUGAGGAGUCUGAUCAAGCGUCGCACAUCAUCAUUCAAGCAGUACAGGAAGAAGUCUACAGUCAAGAGAUCAGAUGUAUCCAAAAACAUGAGCAGAUCCCUAAAUGUAGCCCUCUCAAAAAUCUGGAUCCUUUCAUUGAUGCACACUGCCUUCUGAGAGUCGGGGGCCGCCUCCACAAUGCAAACCUUGAUCAGAGUGAAAAGACUCCAGUGAUUAUUCCUGGCAAACAUCAAGUUGCAACCUUACUCAUCAAGCAUCACCACGAACGAAUCUAUCACCAAGGCCGUCUGUUUACAGAAGGGGCUGUCCGUACAGCUGGCUUUUGGAUUGUUGGUGGCAAAAGAAAAGUGAGCAGCAUCAUCCACCAGUGUAUAACCUGCAGAAGGCUUAGAGCCCCACUUACAAUUCAAAAGAUGGCCAGUCUUCCAGUGGAUCGUCUCUCGACAGAGCCUCCCUAUACGAAUGUCGGCCUUGAUGUGUUCGGCCCUUGGAGUGUCUCUUCACGAAGAACAAGAGGAGGUUAUUCACACAGUAAACGCUGGGCUGUAAUCUUCACGUGUAUGAGCAUACGAGCGGUUCAUAUUGAAGUCAUAGAAUCCCUUGACACAUCCAGCUUCAUCAACGCGCUAAGGCACUUUCUUGCUGUGCGCGGUCCUGUCAAUCACAUCCGCUCAGACCGUGGCACCAACUUUGUUGGCGCCUGCAAGGAGUUGAAGAUACCCUCAAACAUUGACAACACAACUGUGAAGACUUACCUGUCAGGCCAAGGUUGCUCUUGGACCUUUAACUCUCCGCACGCCUCCCAUUUUGGCGGUACAUGGGAAAGAAUGAUUGGUCUUGCAAGGAGAAUCUUGGACUCCAUGUUCCUUCAGCUGAAGGACAAACUUACCCAUGAGGUGAAUGUCCUUUCUGCUCCUACUGGAGAGUUUGGAGUUUCAGAUCUCUACAAGCGCCAGUGGCAGCAGGUUCUGGGACAGAUGGCGAAAGCAAUUCCUCCCAACACUACAGGCACGCAAGAAGUGGCAGUCCACUCAUCCAAACAUCAACCCAGGAAGUGUUGUUCUCCUCAAGGAUAGCCAAGUACCAAGAAAUUAAUGGCCUCUUGGACUGGUAACACAGACCUUCCCCAGCGAAGACGGGAAAGUGCGAAAGGUCGAGAUCAAGGUCACACGAACAGGAGUGACUAAAAUCUUUCUUAGGCCUGUUUCUGAGAUAGUGCUUCUUCUCCCCCCAGAGGCCCAGUGAAGUGAACUGUCUAGGAUUUAUUGAGUGGCGUGUAUUCACGCCAGGCGGGGAGUGUUUUGUUACAAUUGUCAAAUCAGUAAGUUAUAUGUUUAUUUUGAAACAGGACGUUUUAUUUUGAAACAGGAAAUGUCUUGUAACUUGUUAGGGGACUUGUAAUCAGGAAGUGAAAAAAGAGCAUGGCUUAGUUUACAAACCAGUUGAGUCUGCUUGCAUCUUAUGCCUUUUGAUGGCAUCGUUGUUUUACUCUUUCUUACGUCAAUAAACCUGUGGACAACGGACAACUGUCUUCAGAGUCGUGAUGUCAGGAAAGAGUUUGUCUAACUGCCAAGGUGUAUCACAGCACAUAUACUGAGGGCAGCAUACUGUCAAUGGAAAGAAUGAA